rnacentral:rRNA from 1 species
UAGGGAAUCUUCCACAAUGGACGAAAGUCUGAUGGAGCAACGCCGCGUGAGUGAAGAAGGGUUUCGGCUCGUAAAGCUCUGUUGUUAAAGAAGAACAUAUCUGAGAGUAACUGUUCAGGUAUUGACGGUAUUUAACCAGAAAGCUACGGCUAACUACGUGCCA